rnacentral:rRNA from 1 species
UCCAGACUCCUACGGGAGGCAGCAGUGGGGGAUAUUGCACAAUGGGGGGAACCCUGAUGCAGCGACGCCGCGUGGGUGAAGGAGCGUUUCGGCGCGUAAAGCCCUCUCGGCAGGGAAGAAGGAGGACGGUACCUGACUAAGAAGCCCCGGCUAACUACGUGCCAGCAGCCGCGGUAAUACGGAGGAUGCGAGCGUUAUCCGGAUUUAUUGGGUUUAAAGGGUGCGCAGGCGGCACGGCAAGCCGGCGGUCAAAUCGCGGGGCUCAACCCCAUCCAGCCGUUGAAACUGGGGAUCUAGAGUGUGCGAGAGGUAUGCGGAAUGCGUGGUGUAGCGGUGAAAUGCAUAGAUAUCACGCAGAACCCCGAUUGCGAAGGCAGCAUACCGGUGCACAACUGACGCUCAGGCACGAAAGCGUGGGUAUCGAACAGGAUUAGAUACCCCCGUAC